UACGUAGGUGGCAAGCGUUGUCCGGAUUUAUUGGGCGUAAAGCGCGCGCAGGCGGUUUCUUAAGUCUGAUGUGAAAGCCCACGGCUCAACCGUGGAGGGUCAUUGGAAACUGGGAGACUUGAGUGCAGAAGAGGAAAGUGGAAUUCCAAGUGUAGCGGUGAAAUGCGUAGAGAUUUGGAGGAACACCAGUGGCGAAGGCGACUUUCUGGUCUGUAACUGACGCUGAGGCGCGAAAGCAUGGGGAGCAAACAGG
rnacentral:rRNA from 1 species